UCUGGCGCCAGCAUGGCGUCUCCCGCUGCCGCCGGCCCCGGCCGCUCCUGCCGCGCGGUAACCGGCGCCGCCGCGGCGCUUCCGCGCUCCCCCGUGUCCGUGGGGCGGGAGGGCGGAGGCGACGCCUUUCGCUUUCGCAGCCGGGUGUGGCCGCGGUGUUCGGUGUUACCGGCCGGCGAGGGAGGAGCCGGUGUUACCGGCCAGGCCCCGUCUCAGGAGUGUGCCCCUGCAGCAGUACCCGGGCUGGGGCGCUUGUUAAAAGCAGGGGGGGCUUUGCUGGGAAAACGUCUGUUCUGUAAAACAAGCUCGUGUACCUUUCAGUUUUGUUACUCACAGAACUGGUGGAGACGUGCCUGGGCUCACGCGUUCAGGCUGUGAUGAAGAGGGAUAACUUGUUAGAACGCUUCUAGGAUUUGAUGACUCUGUCAGUCUCCUUCGGUGGAAAUGUUUAAGACUGCUUCAUGCUUUGGCUGAGUUCCCGUAUUGCUUUUGAGAGGUUUGAGUGCACUGGCUGAAGCCUUUUUGCAGGGAUCAGUUGAAUUAUUCUGGUCUUUUGAUUUUACAGAUAAAAUCACAGUUCAGUAUAAAAUUAAGAGAAAUGUUCUGAAUUUAAAAUUCUGGGCCUCCUUUUCCUUGAAACUGGAUUUUCAGAUAUGGCGUUAGAAGACAUUGCAGCGUUCUAAUGAUUAUUUCUGCAUCUUGUUGCUGUUUAAUGUUUGGUGUCCUGAGGAAAAAUACUGUGUAAGAUUUAGCAGCUCAGUGGUUUUAUAUUUCAGGAAUAUUUGCCAGCUGAAUAGUUUGCACCUUGGAUUUAAACUCUAGAGGGUGAUCUGUUCAGGACAGGCAUGUCCUAGAGUAGCUAGUGCAUGAUUUAUACUUGUAAUCAGGUUCCUAAUUUGCAGUCUUAAUUUUGCCUGGGUUGUGGAACUUUCUAGGAGUUUGUUUAUUUUUACAUUUCCUUGAGGCCUAGGCAAAGAUUUAAAAAGUUAGCAGACCAGGGGAAGUAUUACUUUGUCAUGCUGUGUUGCUGCUCAAAACCUGUUUGGAGCAGGUAUUCGGUAAUUGCCAGAUUUAGAGGGUGAAUCUGUAUCUUUAUGUACUGAGCAGAAAAGCACAAUGGAUGUUUUUAGUUGCUGGGCAGCUUUUUUUGCCCAGGGAGUCAAUUUAUCAAGAUUAUGCUGCAGUGUAGCUAAUUUAUUUGUUAGUUUCAACAACUGUCAUCUUAAUGCAGAUAUUUAUGUCAGUUCUGUAAUCAAAACUGGAAUCACUGUCCUUGCUUUUGUGUUCUUAAUUGUUUCCAGUGCUGCUUCAGUGAGAUUACACCCGAGGGCAGAAGAAUCACAAAGCUGAACCAGAUUUUGCUAAAUGGAAAUAACAUAACGGUGCUGGUUCCAGGAGGAGAAGGACCUGAAGUAUAAAUUGAUGCAGUUGUCAUCUAUGAAGAUGUCUCAUAUAUAUGUGUAAUCUAAACAGAGUUCUUGGGGUGUGGGUUUUUUGUUUAUUUGGUUUGUUUACACACUCUUGCGGUUGACAUUUGGUUAAAGACAAGGAUUUCCUCUUCAGGAAAUGUGCAUUGCUAAUAACACUGAUUUUGUCAGUUGAAAUCGUUGUGACUUUCUUGUAGAGACGUGUUUGCCAGUUCUGAAUAAAAGGCUCUCUUUUUGUUAGCUACUGUGUUCUGUUAUGCAAAUGCACAAGUUAGUUUUGUAACUGGUUGAUGGAAAAAUUAUGUUUCAGUUGCUGUCAGUCUUCAGUUUUUCUGCAUCUGUUGCAUUUUUUUAUGGCCCAAGCCUGUAUAAAAUACAGGUCGUGAGCCCAGAGAUUGCUGUUCUUUGGAGUACAUGCCGGUACUAACGUGGAUCCGUUGUUUAAACACUGCUUCAGGCUGUGGCACCAGAAACCAUGGGACAGAGUGCUGGAUCAUUCUUAAAGUUUUUUCUUUGAUACUCAGUAGCCUUUGGUUCUGCUGCCCUUGAGGUUCAGCUCCCUUCGAUUUCUUUUGCCCGAUAGAUAGAGUUUCUCACAGUAAAAGCACUGUAACGGUAUUUGGCAGACGAGGACAGGCAGACCAGACCUACUCAUGUUCAGGGAGUAAAACCCCAAAAACCCAAACUAAAGGAAAGGCUAGUGUUAAACUCCUCCUUGGUGUCAGCAGUGACUCUGCUGGCUUUCACCACCAAGUGGUGCUGUGUGCUCUGAAAUCUGCCCCUGCCUGCCCCUGCCUGCCCCUGCCUGCCGGGUGCAGAAUCGUCGUUUUAGAGUCGGCGCUCUUCUGGCUGCAUCAGUUCUCCUGUGAUAUAAAAACUUGAGAGAUAUUGGAAGCGACUGUUUGGGGCAACUUCUGUAAAGUAAGGAAUUGCUGGUUUUAAUUUGUCACGAUGGGCAAAAAAUAACUUGAUUCUAAAUCACCUCCACUGCAGCUUAUUCUUCUACAAUAACACUGCUCAACUGAUUUGUGUGUGUAAAUGGCUUUGAGAGGAAUCGCAGGUGCCUGCUGUUCCCACAGGGACAGGCAGGGGACAGCACAGGAUCAUGCUUUGCCUUUCUGACACCAGAAGAAGAAAGAAGUGUUGAAGAAGGGGGGGUCAGGAUUAAGAGACUGCAAGGAGGUUGCUGUACUAGAUCCUUUUGCCUUGCUCUGACAGAAAAACUGCCUUCUGCUAGUUAGGUCUUAGCUCAAAACACUGCGAGAGCUCUUGCUUUAGCCUCUUAAAGGGGAGAGGGACGCCCUCCCUUCUGCCAGGGAGUGUGUGACUUGACUCACUUGUUCUGAAUAGAUGAUCUGCAGUUGUCAUCUUUAGAUUGCGUGGUGACAGUCUAUACCAUUGACUCCCUGAAUGGGUUUUAAUUUCUGUCCCUGUUUCCUUCUCCAGCUUUUUUUUUAAUACAUCAAUUAAGAAAAAUAUUUUUUUAAAACUUACAUUUGAUUAGAACAUCAUUUGUUGGUUUUGGCUGCAAACACUUUAAUUGUUGAAAAUAAGUUGCCUUUUCAUCAGAACACUUAAAAAGAUUUCUGAUUUCUAGCCAGUGUGGUAUGAUUGUGUUGAGGGUUUUCUUGAAUAAGAUUCUGUACAUGUUCCAGUGUGUGCACUUAAUUUCUGUUUCACUCAGUAUUUCGAAAACAGUCUUAAAUUGAAGAGAGGUUUCAUGCUUGGGAGAGAAAAUGAGCAGAUCUUGACUCUAAAGCAGCUUUUCAAAGGGAAAGGUAAGUUAUUUUGUUUCUUUUUGUAUUUUUGUUCUGACAGCACAAACAUCUUGUUCUCUCAGGAUUUUGUUAUCUCUGAGAACAAACCCUUGGUGUUGCUUGACUUCCUCCUUCUCUGGUUAGCUUGUUUGAUGGGUUUUGUUAUUUUUUUCACUCCCUCCAGGGGAAGUGCUGAGACUUAUCUUUAGGAAGGCAUUUUAAUUCAUGACUCGGAGGUCUGCGGUCAUCACUCUAAAAACAGUUUCUUUGCAUCCAAACGCUGUUAAUCCUUUAUAAUAUAAAAGGAAAGAUUUUUAACUUUCAGUUGAGAAUACAAAGUAUUCCAGAUGGGUCUGGUUUGGUUUGUGUUCAGUAUUCCUGUAGCCUGUUGCUUUGGAAGGGCAGGUAAUAAGCUUUUCAGUUGAGUAAAUGAGUGCUGGUGUUUCUUUGUUUUUCUUCCCCUAGAAAUCUAGUACUGAAUCAUCCUUCGCUGUCCUGUAGGAGUUGUGGACACAGUGGUGUUCUCCAGAAGGCUACUUAUGGUGCCACUACAAGUAGGUCAUUUAAAAUAAUAACCUUAGGCUUUAAAAAUAGGAAAAAUUUAACAGUGCUUAAAGUUUAGAGCAGGGUAGUCAUCAGGUUAAAAUUACUUCAUGCUUAUGACAUGCACAGUAAUGGUUCUUCCCAGGUUUUUGGGUUGAGGUUUUUUUGUUUUUUUCUUCUUUAAGGUGGCACUGGUUGCAGUGAUCUUGAGUUUACUACAUUGCUUGCUGCCUUAGUAUGAGCAUGGUUCACUUCUGCCUGCUAUUUCAGUUUACUUGCAGACAUAGUUAAGAGAGCUGUUUGGUGUUGUGGAGUGUGUGUAUGUGUAUAAAUAUAUAUAUGUGAAUAUGUACGAAAAUAGUAAGACUUACAGUGCCCUCCCCACAUCCAUAGUUAUUGCUGACCUGUAUUUCAGCAUUACCAGGAUUUUAAACUGACACAGGCAUGGCUGUUGCAAAUGUUUCCAUGUUAGUCUAACUAUUGUGAUGAAAUAAAU